AUUUCAGUCCUUCAUGCUGCUUCCAACACUCUUGCUAACAGUUGGUUUUAACUUCUAGGCAAAAUUUGCAUUGUCUGUAGCUCAAUGGAAUUAUAUACAGAGCAUAUGAAUAAGUCAUGAAGAGAUUUCCACCAGCAAAGGUUGAAGUGGAAAGAGAGCAGAGAAGAGUCCUUCACAGAUGAACACAAGACCAGGAACGAAAUUCUCAGAAUUUGGAUACACGUAUGAAAAAAAAUAAGAAAGGAAAAAACGUGCAGAAGAUAGAAUGGGAGGAAAGAGAACUCAGAUCUUUGGGUGACUGAAAUAUGUAACCACCAACUUUUGGCAUCCCAUUUGUCACAGAGACCUUCUGUGGUGACAGAGACGAGCCAACUGGAGAACCCUGAUUUCCAUCCUCUUCCAUUUUCCAGCUUGUUUCCUGAAGUUCCUUAACAUCCACUGUAAUUAGUUCUUUAUCUCCUUCAUUGGGAGCUCUGAUAGGUUAUAGCUCAUCUAAACUGUUAAACCACUUCAGAACAAUAGAUGUAUGGCUACUGUUGGCAGAGUGUCAUGUUUUAAAACCAACUGUUGA
rnacentral:lncRNA from 12 species